AUUGAACGCUGGCGGCAUGCCUUACACAUGCAAGUCGAACGGGGGUAGCAAUACCCUAGUGGCGAUCGGGUGAGUAAAGCAUCGGAACGUACCCAGUCGUGGGGGAUAACGUAGCGAAAGUUACGCUGAUACCGCAUACGAUCUGAGGAUGAAAGCAGGGGACUCGCAAGAGCCUUGCGCGAUUGGAGCGGCCGAUGUCGGAUUAGCUAGUUGGUGAGGUAAAAGCUCACCAAGGCGACGAUCCGUAGCUGGUCUGAGAGGAUGAUCAGCCACACUGGACUGAGACACGGCCCAGACUCCUACGGGAGGCAGCAGUGGGGAAUAUUGGACAAUGGGCGCAAGCCUGAUCCAGCCAUGCCGCGUGUGUGAAGAAGGCCCUAGGGUUGUAAAGCACUUUAAGUAGGGAGGAAGGUCUGGUAAUUAAUACUUAUCAGGAUUGACGUUACCUACAGAAUAAGCACCGGCUAACUCCGUGCCAGCCGCCGCCGAA
rnacentral:rRNA from 1 species